ACUCUCCCUGGAUGCUGGAGGCUGCUCCGCCGUGGGCAGGAGGAGAAGGAAGAGAACUGGGUGCCGCCUGCCUGCACUCUCUCCGGAUGCUGGAGGCUGGAGGCAGUGAGGCAGCAACAGCGCGAGGCGACUUUGGAGCUGCCUCAUACAGCGACCUCGCCUUCCGCUGCGCCUCCUCCCAGAACCCAAGAAGCCUGGAACCUGUGGCGUCCAGCCCUGAAAGGAGACGGCAACCCAGCCGCGCGUGAGUCCGGGAGUCUGGGAUACCCGCGGCAGAGGAAGGACAGGCAGGAGUCUCGGCCUCCCGGGGAGCGACGUGCCGGGAAAGUUUUGCCUGCACUCUCCCUGGAUGCUGGAGGCUCGAGGCAGUGAGGCAGCAACAGCGCGAGGCGACUUUGGAGCGGCCUCAUAUAGCGACCUCGCCUUCCGCUGCGCGUCCUCCCAGAGCCUAAGAAGCCCGGAACCUGUGGCAUCCAUCUCUGAAAGGAGGAGACGGCAACCCAGCCGAGGGCUGGGAACAGGCCCUAAGCCUGUCAUAAACAGGCCUUAAACUGACCAUGAACAGCAUUUCUGCACGAAUGUGACGUGCUCCUGAUGGCUAUGACGCCCACUGCUAGAAGUUGUUAGUUUACUGGAGCAGGGUAGGGAAUACCUGGCCCACCCAGAGCGGAAAACGGCUCAAACCACAAACAAUAGCAUGAGUGGCCUGAGCCUUAACAACAUGUUCUUGCUGCAGAUAAUCGGCCAGAGACUGUUUCUCUGCUCCUCUCUAAGUAUGCUUUGUUUUUCGUAAGGAAUGCUUUUAGCUAAUGUAUAACCUACAGAAACACUGCUUAUCACUGGCUUGCUGUCAAUAAACAUGUGGGUCAAACUCUGUUUGUGGCUCUCAGCUCUGAAGGCUGUUAUCCCCCUGAUUCCCACUUUGCACUUUAUUUCUGUGUGUUUGUCUUCAUUCCUCUAGCACCACUGGGUUGGGUUCUCCUUGACCAAGCUGGUCUCGGCACAUAUCCAUGUAUGCCCAGGUCCUGAAAUCAGCCUUGUGGAACCUGUGGGUAGGAAAAGUCAACCCUCUGUGCAUGUAGGCCUGGAACCUGACCAAUACUGUAUUUUCCUGCCACGUUUCAUUUCAAAUGUGGAAACUGCCUAUACGGACCUACUGCAUUUGUUUUUAAAAAUCCUCUGUAAGUGGACCUGCACAGUUCAGGCCCAGAUUGUUCCAGGAUCAACCCUACAGUAGAAAUCAAGUAUCUUUUUCAUUGUCUCUUGGGAUCUGCCUUUUCACCAAUAAAAUAUGAGGGCUGUUGGGAGCAGGCCCCCCCCAAUCUGGCCAUAAACUGGCCCCAAAACUGGCCAUAAACAAAAUCUCUGCAGCACUGUAACAUGUUCAUAAUGGCCCUAACGCCCAAGUUGGAAGGUUGUGGAUUUACAGGAAUGAGGGCAAGGAACACCUGGCCUGCCCAGGGUGGAAAACCACUUAAAGGCAUUCUUAAGCCACAAACAAUAGCAUGAGUGAUCUGUGCCUUAAGGACAUGCUCCUGCUGCAGUUAACUAGCCCAACAUAUUCCUUUAAUUCAGUCCAUCCCUUCGUUUCCCAUAAGGGAUACUUUUAGUUAAUUUAAUAUCUAUAGAAACAAUGCUAAUGACUGGUUUGCUGUUAAUAAAUACGUGGGUAAAUCUCUGUUUGGGGCUCUCAGCUCUGAAGGCUGUGAGACCCCUGAUUUCCCACUUGACACCUCU
rnacentral:lncRNA from 1 species